CCCAGGCUCUCAGUGGGGGUCUAUCGGGACCAGGGCAAGGUUGUGCUCAGUGUCUCUGGAGAGUGGAGUCUGGCCAGGAAGGAGGAUGGGUUUUCUGAAGUCCCCGUGGAAGGUGAAGGCAUUGGAGGUCUUCACAGCAGUUUUCAGUUUCAAGGAUUGAGGCUUACAGGGUAGGCCAACCAGUCUGGUCGCGUGUGAAUAGCUCAAUGGGUUCUGUAACCUCUCACGCAUCAGCAUCAACAGGAAAGCCCUAGGGCUUCAGACAAGUGGUGUCCAUUGCAGGCAUGAGGUCAGGCUCUGUUGCUGCUUGUGCCCAUGAAGAGUUGUUCCGAGUUCAUGCAGGGAUGUUGCUGUAGCAGUGAGUCAAGAGAAACAAGUUUCCAGAGGCCCCAGGCACAGAUGGAGUCUUGCUCUGCCACCCAGGCUGGA